rnacentral:rRNA from 1 species
UACAGAGGUGGCAAGCGUUGUUCGGAAUUACUGGGCGUAAAGGGCUCGUAGGCGGCCAACUAAGUCAGACGUGAAAUCCCUCGGCUUAACCGGGGAACGGCAUCUGAUACUGGAUGGCUGGAGUUCGGGAGAGGGAUGCGGAAUUCCAGGUGUAGCGGUGAAAUGCGUAGAUAUCUGGAGGAACACCGGUGGCGAAGGCGGCAUCCUGGACCGACACUGACGCUGAGGAGCGAAAGCCAGGGGAGCAAACGGG